rnacentral:tRNA from 1 species
GCGGCCGUGGCGCAAUUGGUUGACGCAGCAGGUUUAGGUCCUGCCGUCCGAGAGGAUAUGAGGGUUCGAGUCCCUUCGGCCGCACAA